rnacentral:rRNA from 1 species
AUUGAACGCUGGCGGCAGGCCUAACACAUGCAAGUCGAGCGGAUGAAGGGAGCUCGCUCCUGGAUUCAGCGGCGGACGGGUGAGUAAUGCCUAGGAAUCUGCCUGGUAGUGGGGGAUAACGUCCGGAAACGGGCGCUAAUACCGCAUACGUCCUGAGGGUGAAAGGGGGGGAUCUUCGGACCUCACGCUAUCAGAUGAGACUAGGUCGGAUUAGCUAGUUGGUGGGGUAAAGGCCUACCAAGGCGACGAUCCGUAACUGGUCUGAGAGGAUGAUCAGUCACACUGGAACUGAGACACGGUCCAGACUCCUACGGGAGGCAGCAGUGGGGAAUAUUCGACAAUGGGCGAAAGCCUGAUCCAGCCAUGCCGCGUGUGUGAAGAAGGUCUUCGGAUUGUAAAGCACUUUAAGUUGGGAGGAAGAGAAGUAAGUUAAUAUCUUGCUGUUUUGACGUUACCAACAGAAUAAGCACCGGCUAACUUCGUG